rnacentral:rRNA from 1 species
GUAGGUGGCAAGCGUUGUCCGGAAUUGUUGGGCGUAAAGCGCGCGCAGGCGGUUCUUUAAGUCUGAUGUGAAAGCCCACGGCUCAACCGUGGAGGGUCAUUGGAAACUGGAGAACUUGAGUACAGAAGAGGAAAGCGGAAUUCCACGUGUAGCGGUGAAAUGCGUAGAGAUGUGGAGGAACACCAGUGGCGAAGGCGGCUUUCUGGUCUGUAACUGACGCUGAGGCGCGAAAGCGUGGGGAGCAAACAGGAUUAGAUACCCUGGUAGUCCACGCCGUAAACGAUGAGUGCUAAGUGUUAGGGGGUUUCCGCCCCCCUUAGUGCUGCAGCUAACGCAUUAAGCACUCCGCCUGGGAGUACGGCCGCAAGGCUG